GGUUAAGCGACUAAGCGUACACGGUGGAUGCCCUGGCAGUCAGAGGCGAUGAAGGACGUGCUAAUCUGCGAAAAGCGUCGGUAAGGUGAUAUGAACCGUUACAGCCGGCGAUGUCCGAAUGGGGAAACCCAGUGCAAUUCGUUGCACUAUCGUUUGAUGAAUACAUAGUCAAACGAGGCGAACCGGGGGAACUGAAACAUCUAAGUACCCCGAGGAAAAGAAAUCAACCGAGAUUCCCCCAGUAGCGGCGAGCGAACGGGGAGCAGCCCGGAGUCUGAAUCAGCUUGUGUGUUAGUGGAAGCGUCUGGAAAGUCGCAGGGUACAGGGUGAUACUCCCGUACACUAAAACGCACAGGCUGUGAACUCGAAGAGUAGGGCGGGACACGUGGUAUCCUGUCUGAAUAUGGGGGGACCAUCCUCCAAGGCUAAAUACUCCUGACUGACCGAUAGUGAACCAGUACCGUGAGGGAAAGGCGAAAAGAACCCCGGCGAGGGGAGUGAAAAAGAACCUGAAACCGUGUACGUACAAGCAGUAGGAGCCCACUUGUUGGGUGACUGCGUACCUUUUGUAUAAUGGGUCAGCGACUUAUAUUCUGUAGCAAGGUUAACCGUAUAGGGGAGCCGCAGGGAAACCGAGUCUUAACUGGGCGUUAAGUUGCAGGGUAUAGACCCGAAACCCGGUGAUCUAGCCAUGGGCAGGUUGAAGGUUGGGUAACACUAACUGGAGGACCGAACCGACUAAUGUUGAAAAAUUAGCGGAUGACUUGUGGCUGGGGGUGAAAGGCCAAUCAAACCGGGAGAUAGCUGGUUCUCCCCGAAAGCUAUUUAGGUAGCGCCUCGUGAAUUCAUCUUCGGGGGUAGAGCACUGUUUCGGCUAGGGGGUCAUCCCGACUUACCAACCCGAUGCAAACUACGAAUACCGAAGAAUGUUAUCACGGGAGACACACGGCGGGUGCUAACGUCCGUCGUGAAGAGGGAAACAACCCAGACCGCCAGCUAAGGUCCCAAAGUCAUGGUUAAGUGGGAAACGAUGUGGGAAGGCCCAGACAGCCAGGAUGUUGGCUUAGAAGCAGCCAUCAUUUAAAGAAAGCGUAAUAGCUCACUGGUCGAGUCGGCCUGCGCGGAAGAUGUAACGGGGCUAAACCAUGCACCGAAGCUGCGGCAGCGACACUAUGUGUUGUUGGGUAGGGGAGCGUUCUGUAAGCCGUUGAAGGUGGCCUGUGAGGGUUGCUGGAGGUAUCAGAAGUGCGAAUGCUGACAUAAGUAACGAUAAUGCGGGUGAAAAACCCGCACGCCGGAAGACCAAGGGUUCCUGUCCAACGUUAAUCGGGGCAGGGUGAGUCGACCCCUAAGGCGAGGCCGAAAGGCGUAGUCGAUGGGAAACAGGUUAAUAUUCCUGUACUUGGUGUUACUGCGAAGGGGGGACGGAGAAGGCUAUGUUGGCCGGGCGACGGUUGUCCCGGUUUAAGCGUGUAGGUGUGUGUUCCAGGUAAAUCCGGUUCACUUUAACACUGAGGCGUGAUGACGAGGCACUACGGUGCUGAAGUGACAAAUGCCCUGCUUCCAGGAAAAGCCUCUAAGCAUCAGGUAACAUCAAAUCGUACCCCAAACCGACACAGGUGGUCAGGUAGAGAAUACCAAGGCGCUUGAGAGAACUCGGGUGAAGGAACUAGGCAAAAUGGUGCCGUAACUUCGGGAGAAGGCACGCUGAUAUGUAGGUGAAGUGGUUUACCCAUGGAGCUGAAAUCAGUCGAAGAUACCAGCUGGCUGCAACUGUUUAUUAAAAACACAGCACUGUGCAAACACGAAAGUGGACGUAUACGGUGUGACGCCUGCCCGGUGCCGGAAGGUUAAUUGAUGGGGUUAUCCGUAAGGAGAAGCUCUUGAUCGAAGCCCCGGUAAACGGCGGCCGUAACUAUAACGGUCCUAAGGUAGCGAAAUUCCUUGUCGGGUAAGUUCCGACCUGCACGAAUGGCGUAAUGAUGGCCAGGCUGUCUCCACCCGAGACUCAGUGAAAUUGAACUCGCUGUGAAGAUGCAGUGUACCCGCGGCAAGACGGAAAGACCCCGUGAACCUUUACUAUAGCUUGACACUGAACACUGGUCCUUGAUGUGUAGGAUAGGUGGGAGGCUUUGAAGUGUGGACGCCAGUCUGCAUGGAGCCAUCCUUGAAAUACCACCCUUUAAUGGCUGGUGUUCUAACGUGGGCCCGUAAUCCGGGUUGCGGACAGUGUCUGGUGGGUAGUUUGACUGGGGCGGUCUCCUCCUAAAGAGUAACGGAGGAGCACGAAGGUCAGCUAAUCCUGGUCGGACAUCAGGAGGUUAGUGCAAUGGCAUAAGCUGGCUUGACUGCGAGCGUGACGGCGCGAGCAGGUGCGAAAGCAGGUCAUAGUGAUCCGGUGGUUCUGAAUGGAAGGGCCAUCGCUCAACGGAUAAAAGGUACUCCGGGGAUAACAGGCUGAUACCGCCCAAGAGUUCAUAUCGACGGCGGUGUUUGGCACCUCGAUGUCGGCUCAUCACAUCCUGGGGCUGAAGUAGGUCCCAAGGGUAUGGCUGUUCGCCAUUUAAAGUGGUACGCGAGCUGGGUUUAGAACGUCGUGAGACAGUUCGGUCCCUAUCUGCCGUGGGCGCUGGAGAAUUGAGGGGGGCUGCUCCUAGUACGAGAGGACCGGAGUGGACGCAUCACUGGUGUUCGGGUUGUCAUGCCAAUGGCAUUGCCCGGUAGCUAAAUGCGGAAGAGAUAAGUGCUGAAAGCAUCUAAGUACGAAACUUGCCCCGAGAUGAGUUCUCCCUGACUCCUUGAGAGUCCUGAAGGAACGUUGAAGACGACGACGUUGAUAGGCCGGGUGUGUAAGCGCAGCGAUGCGUUGAGCUAACCGGUACUAAUGAACCGUGAGGCUUAACCUU
rnacentral:rRNA from 1 species